UACAGAGGGUGCAAACGUUGUUCGGAAUUACUGGGCGUAAAGCGCGUGUAGGCGGCUCAGUAAGUCGGAUGUGAAAGCCCUGGGCUUAACCUAGGAAGUGCAUUCGAAACUUCUGAGCUUGAGUUCUGGAGAGGAAGGCGGAAUUCUCGGUGUAGAGGUGAAAUUCGUAGAUAUCGAGAGGAACACCGGUGGCGAAGGCGACCUUCUGGACAGUGACUGACGCUGAGACGCGAAAGCGUGGGGAGCAAACAGG
rnacentral:rRNA from 1 species